rnacentral:rRNA from 1 species
ACCAGUACCGUGAGGGAAAGGCGAAAAGAACCCCGGCGAGGGGAGUGAAAAAGAACCUGAAACCGUGUACGUACAAGCAGUGGGAGCACGCUUAGGCGUGUGACUGCGUACCUUUUGUAUAAUGGGUCAGCGACUUAUAUUCUGUAGCAAGGUUAACCGAAUAGGGGAGCCGAAGGGAAACCGAGUCUUAACUGGGCGUUAAGUUGCAGGGUAUAGACCCGAAACCCGGUGAUCUAGCCAUGGGCAGGUUGAAGGUUGGGUAACACUAACUGGAGGACCGAACCGACUAAUGUUGAAAAAUUAGCGGAUGACUUGUGGCUGGGGGUGAAAGGCCAAUCAAACCGGGAGAUAGCUGGUUCUCCCCGAAAGCUAUUUAGGUAGCGCCUCGUGAACUCAUCUCCGGGGGUAGAGCACUGUUUCGGCAAGGGGGUCAUCCCGACUUACCAACCCGAUGCAAACUGCGAAUACCGGAGAAUGUUAUCACGGGAGACACACGGCGGGUGCUAACGUCCGUCGUGAAGAGGGAAACAACCCAGACCGCCAGCUAAGGUCCCAAAGUCAUGGUUAAGUGGGAAACGAUGUGGGAAGGCCCAGACAGCCAGGAUGUUGGCUUAGAAGCAGCCAUCAUUUAAAGAAAGCGUAAUAGCUCACUGGUCGAGUCGGCCUGCGCGGAAGAUGUAACGGGGCUAAACCAUGCACCGAAGCUGCGGCAGCGACGCUUAUGCGUUGUUGGGUAGGGGAGCGUUCUGUAAGCCUGCGAAGGUGUGCUGUGAGGCAUGCUGGAGGUAUCAGAAGUGCGAAUGCUGACAUAAGUAACGAUAAAGCGGGUGAAAAGCCCGCUCGCCGGAAGACCAAGGGUU